UACGUAGGUGGCAAGCGUUAUCCGGAAUUAUUGGGUGUAAAGGGUGUGUAGGCGGGACUUUAAGUCAGGCGUGAAAAUUAUGGGCUCAACCCAUAAAUUGCGCUUGAAACUGGAGUUCUUGAGUGUGGGAGAGGUAAACGGAAUUCCCGGUGUAGCGGUGGAAUGCGUAGAUAUCGGGAGGAACACCAGUGGCGAAGGCGGUUUACUGGACCACAACUGACGCUGAGACACGAAAGCGUGGGGAGCAAACAGGAUUAGAUACC
rnacentral:rRNA from 1 species